rnacentral:lncRNA from 1 species
AUGGCGGGGCCGGGCCCGGGGCGCCCGGAACGCCCGCACCGCCCCGGGGGCUUCGGUCCGGCCCGGACGGACCCGGGGAUGCGAGCCCCGCCUGCUGAGGGGCGCGGCGCAGGGAACAGGGCCCGCGCCUCGGGAACUGCGCAGACUCGCGGGGUUCGGGGAGACCGAGGACGGGGCGCGGUCCGGCCCGCGCCGCUCAGGGCAGCUUCAAAACGGGCGCGUCCCAAACAACGGCGCCCGCGUUCACGUCACUGCGCCGCGUCAUCGCGACGACGUCAUCACCGGGCGACGCCGCCGCUGGCCCCGCGCGCGCACCGCGGCCCUCGGAGCCUUUGCAGGAGGCUUUGGUGGGGCCAAGCGGCUGUCAGGACGGAGGAGGGCUGUGGCGGCCGUCCCGCCCGAGCCCUUUCUGCGUUUAGGAAUUUAAGAGCCUCUGCAGCCCACAGGGCCCCACGUUGUGAGGUUCACACACCUGCAGCUGCUCAGAAGUGCAAACUCACCCCCUGCAUGACGUGCUCUGGAUAUCAGUCGGCCUUCGCACCGCAGCCCUGGGUGGUUGAUCGAACGCUAAAGCUCCAGACCUGGAGAUGCCCCAGAGGAAGCGCCUGGCAGGUGUAGGAUCUCCCUGGUCCUGGGCUGGCCCAAAGCUCCCAGCUAGGCGUAUGCAGUGAGAGGUCAAACAGGGAUCAAGUUUAUAUCUGCUGCUUGCAUUCCGCAUGAUGACUUAAAAAAAGGAAAAAGAAAGAAAGAAAGAAAUCCUGGCCGGGCGCGGUGGCUCACGCCUGUCAUCCCAGCACUUUGGGAGGCCGGUAAGGCGGAUCACGAGGUCUGGAGAGCGAGACCAGCCUGACCAACAUGGUGAAACCCCGUCUCUACUAAAAAUACAAAUGUCAGCCGGGCGUGGUAGCAGAUGCCGGUCAUCCCAGCUACUCGGGAGGCUGAGGCAGGAGAAUCGCUUGAACCCGGGAGACUGAGAUUGCAGUGAGCUGAGAUCAUGCCAUUGCAGUCCAGCCUGGGCGACAGAGCGGGACUCUGUCUCAAAAAUAAAACAAAACAAACAGAAAUAAUCUGUGUUUCUGUCAGUUGACUCCAAAGCAGCCACAAAUGCGUGUAAGUUUGAUGUAAAGUCAGUUUUCUCUCAAAGUAGCUAUGAGUUUUGUGUGAAGGUUCUUUUCUUUUUCUCCGUUUUUUAUUUUUUAUUUUGGAGACAGAGUCUCGCUCUGUCGCCCAGGCUGAAGUGCAGUGGCGAUCUCAGCUCAAUCAAUUUCCUCCCGGGUUCCAUCUCUGCCU